UUCACCAUUAACCAUGUUUCCUGUAGCUGUGCUGCUGCUGUUGGCAGCUGGAUCAUAUGUGAAGUGUGAAACUCUGACGCAGCCAGCCUCUGUGACUGUGCAGCCAGGUCAACCUCUGACCAUCAGAUGCCAGGUCUCUUAUUCUGUUAGCAGCGGCUACCCUACAGCUUGGAUCAGACAGCCUGCAGGAAAAGGACUGGAGUGGAUUGGAAGAAGUGGUGGUGGAUACAGCACAUACUAUAAAGAUUCACUAAAAAACAAGUUCAGUAUUGAAUUAGACACUUCCAGCAACACAGUGAGUCUAAAGGGACAGAACGUGCAGCCUGGAGACACUGCUGUGUAUUACUGUGCCAGAAUCUCCGUCCCAAUCCAAAUAAUUAAUGUGCCGUUUCUAGCAGAGAACCAUGGCCUCAGAGUUAAAGGUUCUGACCGUCAUCCCAGCUGCAAUCCAUCCCAGAACACAUGCAGGUCACAAUCUGAUGAAGCGAACAGAACCAUAUCAUCUGCAAAUAGCAAUGAGGAAGUUCUGAGUCCCCAAAACUUGACACAGUCCUCCCCCUGGCUGCAUCUGAAACUCAUGUGA